CGCCAAGAUGCCCAAGAGGAAGGUCAGCUCCGCCCAGGGAGCGGCGAAGGAGGAGCCCCAGAGGAGAUCGGCGCGGUUGUCUGCUAAACCUGCUCCUGCAAAAGUGGAAGCGAAGCCAAAAAAAGUAGCGGGAAAGGAUUAAUCUUUAGACAAAAAAGUGCAAGCAAAACGGAAAAGGGGAGCGAAGAGAAAGCAGGCUGAAGUGGCUAACCAAGAAACUAAAGAAGAGUUACCUGCAGAAAGGAGGAGAAUCCAGCCUGUGAUGAAGCAGGAGAGAAAGAAGCCAAAUCUGAAUAAUAUCACAUCCCAUGUUUUAUCAGUGAUCCCUGUCUCCCUUCUUGUACAAUACAGAGGAAUAUUUUUGUCAACUAUUUUGUAAAUGCAAGUUUUUUUAGUAGCUGUACAAACAUUUUUAAGAAGGAGGGAAUCCCACCUCAUCCCAUUUUUUAAGUGCAAGUGCUUUUUUUUUUUUUUAAGAGGUGAAAUCAUUCUCUAGUUGUUUAUUUUUUGGUACAAUCAGAAAAUAGGGUGGGAUAUUGAAUUACAGGAGGCUUUGACUGUCUUGGGUAUCAACUUAACAUUCCAUAGAUGGGGGUUAGUUUUUAUAUCCUAUAAUGCAAAGUAUACCAAGUGGCAAUAUGGAUCACAGUCCUGCAUUUAAUGUCUUGAACAUUUAAAAUUACUUCUAUUUCCAUGUUGUUUUUUUUAGUAGACUUGUUUCCUAAAGAAAAUCACUCCUCAAUCAUGGUUCUCCCUGUCAGAAUUGUGUUCACUCUGUAACAUCUUUGGUCAUGGUAAAUCUGUUUUCCUGAUAACUUUGUUAAUGUGUUGAAAGAUUGAAAA